rnacentral:rRNA from 1 species
AUUGAACGCUGGCGGCAGGCCUAACACAUGCAAGUCGAACGAGUGGCGGACGGGUGAGUAAUGUCUGGGAAACUGCCUGCUGGAGGGGGAUAACUACUGGAAACGGUAGCUAAUACCGCAUACCAUCGGAUGUGCCCAGAUGGGAUUAGCUAGUAGGUGGGGUAAUGGCUCACCUCGGCGACGAUCCCUAGCUGGUCUGAGAGGAUGACCAGACACACUGGAACGGAGACACGGUCCAUAAUCCCACGGGAGGCAGCAGUGGGGAAUAUGGAACAAAGGGCGCAAGCCUGAUGUAGCCAUGCCGCGUGUAUGAAGACGGCCUUCUGGUUGGAAAGUACUUUCAGCGGGGAGGCGUUACCCGCAGAAGAAGCACCGGCUAACUCCGUGCCAGCAGCCGCGGUAAUAC